rnacentral:lncRNA from 1 species
GCAGAUUUCUCCCAGGGCCUUCUCAGGCCUGGGGAAAGGGCUCCAGGGCUUGUACCUGCAGCAGAACCAACUUCAGUCCCUGCCUGCCCCGAUGUGGCUCAGCGGGCUGGAGCUCAUCGACCUCAGCGGUAACCCCUUCCACUGUGACUGCCAGCUGCUCCCGCUGCACAGAUGGCUCACGGGGCUGAACCUGCGGGUGGGCGCCACCUGUGCCACCCCUCCCAGUGUCCGUGGCCAGAAGGUGAAGGCUGCAGCUUCUGUCUUUGAAGCCUGCCCAGGCUGGAUUGCCAGGAAGGCCAAGAGGACACCAACCUCCGGGGUCAGUGCCAGGAGAACUCCCAUCCACGGAUGGCAUUGAGGAACAGACGAGUUGUAGCAAUGUGCCUUGAUGUAUCCAGGAAGGCUGAGCAGGCUGCUGCAGGGUGAGCCCCAAGAUGCAGGAGGCCCUGAUGAUGCAGACAUUAAGACCAAGUGCGGAGUCCACCUCCACCAUAUCGUGGAGAAGAUGGGCAGAGAGAAAGGUGCUGGGAAGGCGGGAGAAGGCCGGGCCCCUCCCCGAACUGUGUUUGCAGACUUGAGGCAAUCAAAUGGUGUUUAUAUUAGUUUCCUGAGGUUGCAUGGGACUGGACCACGAACUGGGUACAACAACAAUGUGCCUGACUGUCCUGGAGGUUUGAGGUUGGAAAUCAAAGUGUUGAUUUUCAACUGAAGCCUGGAAUAAAAAGAUCCUAUCUUGCUGCUUCUGGC